rnacentral:lncRNA from 1 species
UUGAGGCUUUUGCUUAAUGUGCCUUGUUUUAUUUUAAUGAGGUUUAACAUUUUUCAUUUUCUGAUACAGGACCUUGGGGUGAAUUUAUCAAACGUUUGUUAAAUUACUCUUGCUAGUAGUUUCAACGGGAUAAACAGCGAAAGGAGUGGCUGGCUGUAGGCACUGAGAGCUAGCAGAUGUCAUGGUUUUGACUUGUAACCUGUCAGGGCCGUGUGGAGUCCUCCACUCAACCCUCCUGGGCGCUUUGGUUUGUGUGACAUUGACUCUGAAUCUACUAAAAUGCUGAGAACCGUGUCAGCACAAAACACCUUUUUCACUAAAAUUUUUAGUAUAUUAAAACAGUUGGUAGUCACUUUUGGUUUUUAAAAGGUAAGGGCUCUGUUGCU